GAAGGUCAAAUGAAUUAAUACAUGUGAAGCAACUAUAGCAAGCUUGACAUAAAGUGCUCAAAAUCAUGAACCACUAAGGAAUGCUCCAUCAGAGACAACAUAGGUCAUCAAGAAAUGGAAAAGUUUGGAAGUGGCUUGGACAUCCAGAAAACACAGAUUGUCAGAAUGCUGCCCAACUGAAAGUAAUUCAGUCUACAUUAUUUUCAUAAAAAUAAAGCUCCAGUGUAAACCUCUCAUAAAUGCACAACUCCCACAUCUGAAGAUGGAGACAAGGAUGCACCCUCUUGGAUAAUAUAGACAGAGGUAGCUUGUACAGUUGUUAGAGCACAGAACUACCUUCUAAGGAGAAGAUACUCAGUUCCUGAGUUAGAGCUUAUGUAAAUCUGGGGUUCAUUCAGAUACCCAAUGGAACUCUCUUUCUCAAUAAAAACCUCUCACAACAUAACUGUCUGUUAGCA
rnacentral:lncRNA from 1 species